rnacentral:rRNA from 1 species
UUUGCUUGUCUUCCUUACAUUUUCAGGCCUAUGUUCUUUCAUAUAAUCUAUGUAUGUUAUGGAAUGUAAUGCGAUGGGCCACUGUGCCUAUAUAAACUUAUACAACUUUCAGCAACGGAUCUCUUGGCUCUCGCAUCGAUGAAGAACGCAGCGAAAUGCGAUAAGUAAUGUGAAUUGCAGAAUUCAGUGAAUCAUCGAAUCUUUGAACGCACCUUGCGCUCCUUGGUAUUCCGAGGAGCAUGCCUGUUUGAGUGUCAUUAAUAUAUCAACUCUCUUCAAGCUUUUUUGCUUGUUGAGUGUUUGGAUGUGGGGGCAGCUCCCCUAAAAUGUAUUAGCAGAACAAUUUGUUGACUGUUCAUUGGUAUGAUAACUAUCUAUGCUUUUGACGUUAAUUCAGCUCAUAGAAGUCCGUUGGCUUGGACAACAUUUUUAUUAA